rnacentral:rRNA from 1 species
GUCCACGCCCUAACGAUGGCAACUAGUUGUUGGAGGAUGAACUCCUUUAGUAACGCAGCUAACGCGUGAAGUUGCCCGCCUGGGGAGUACGGUCGCAAGAUUAAACUCAAAGGAAUUGACGGGGCCCGCACAAGCGGUGGAUGAUGUGGUUUAAUUCGAUGCAACGCGAAAACCUUACCUACCCUUGACAUGCCAGGAAGGCCGCAGAGAUGCGGCUGUGCCCCGAAAAGGGAAUCUGGACACAGGUGCUGCAUGGCUGUCGU